rnacentral:rRNA from 1 species
UGGGGAAUAUUGCACAAUGGGCGCAAGCCUGAUGCAGCGACGCCGCGUGGGGGAUGACGGCCUUCGGGUUGUAAACCUCUUUCAGCAGGGACGAAGCGAAAGUGACGGUACCUGCAGAAGAAGCACCGGCCAACUACGUGCCAGCAGCCGCGGUAAUACGUAGGGUGCGAGCGUUGUCCGGAAUUACUGGGCGUAAAGAGCUCGUAGGUGGUUUGUCGCGUUGUUCGUGAAAAACCGGGGGCUUAACCCUCGGCGUGCGGGCGAUACGGGCAGACUAGAGUACUGCAGGGGAGACUGGAAUUCCUGGUGUAGCGGUGGAAUGCGCAGAUAUCAGGAGGAACACCGGUGGCGAAGGCGGGUCUCUGGGCAGUAACUGACGCUGAGGAGCGAAAAGCGUGGGGAGCGAACAGGAUUAGAUACCCUGGUAGUCCACGCCGUAAACGGUGGGUACUAGGUGUGGGUUUCCUUCCUUGGGAUCCGUGCCGUAGCUAACGCAUUAGGUACCCCGCCUGGGGAGUACGGCCGCAAGGCUAAAACUCAAAUGAAUUGACGGGGGUCAUAGCUGUUUCCU